UACCUUGACGGUACCUAACCAGAAAGCCACGGCUAACUACGUGCCAGCAGCCGCGGUAAUACGUAGGUGGCAAGCGUUGUCCGGAAUUAUUGGGCGUAAAGGGCUCGCAGGCGGUUUCUUAAGUCUGAUGUGAAAGCCCCCGGCUCAACCGGGGAGGGUCAUUGGAAACUGGGGAACUUGAGUGCAGAAGAGGAGAGUGGAAUUCCACGUGUAGCGGUGAAAUGCGUAGAGAUGUGGAGGAACACCAGUGGCGAAGGCGACUCUCUGGUCUGUAACUGACGCUGAGGAGCGAAAGCGUGGGGAGCGAACAGGAUUAGAUACCCUGGUAGUCCACGCCGUAAACGAUGAGUGCUAAGUGUUAGGGGGUUUCCGCCCCUUAGUGCUGCAGCUAACGCAUUAAGCACUCCGCCUGGGGAGUACGGUCGCAAGACUGAAACUCAAAGGAAUUGACGGGGGCCCGCACAAGCGGUGGAGCAUGUGGUUUAAUUCGAAGCAACGCGAAGAACCUUACCAGGUCUUGACAUCCUCUGACAAUCCUAGAGAUAGGACGUCCCCUUCGGGGGCAGAGUGACAGGUGGUGCAUGGUUGUCGUCAGCUCGUGUCGUGAGAUGUUGGGUUAAGUCCCGCAACGAGCGCAACCCUUGAUCUUAGUUGCCAGCAUUCAGUUGGGCACUCUAAGGUGACUGCCGGUGACAAACCGGAGGAAGGUGGGGAUGACGUCAAAUCAUCAUGCCCCUUAUGACCUGGGCUACACACGUGCUACAAUGGACAGAACAAAGGGCAGCGAAACCGCGAGGUUAAGCCAAUCCCACAAAUCUGUUCUCAGUUCGGAUCGCAGUCUGCAACUAGACUGCGUGAAGCUGGAAUCGC
rnacentral:rRNA from 1 species